AGGUGAACUUUCAAUUUCCCCAUGUUUACCAGAUAAUGGUGUAGGGGAGGCCGAUGACUUGAGAAAUGCAAAGCGUAAAGUUGAUGCUAAUGAGCCUUCCUUUAGUGAUAAAGCUAAGAAACUGAAAUCAUUGUUUGGAACAGAAGGUGAAAUUAUUUCCCGCCGGGAAAAAGGUUUUCCUGGCAUCAUCAUUUCUGCACGCCGUACAGCAAUUUCAAGAACUGAUAUUUUAGAUAUGUUCAUGGAUGAUGAUAACAAUGGCCAAUGUUUUGAUGCGAAUUUUCAAUUAAACACCGGCCAAAGUAGCAAUGAUUCACUUCCUGAUCAUAUGCCAGAACUCUUUAACUCUUGUAACUCUGUACCAGUGGAAGAGAAUCAAGUUGACUCGCCCUGGGAAGCUAUGGCAGGCUAUGCACGACGUUUGAUGUUGGGACCUUCCAAUCAAGAAGUACAAACCAUGUGUGCUGAUGUCUUCAGAGUUGUUUAUGCUGCCAUUCAGAAGGCUGGUGACCAAGGAUUGAGCAUCGAAGAAAUUUCCCAACUUAUAAAAGGGCCAGGUAUUGUAAGUGCUGAGAUUUAACCUAGUAUAUGGUUGACUUAAAAUUGAUUAAUUUUUUUUUAAUUAUUUAAACUUCUCUGUGAUAGUUUAUUGUUUUAUAUGGCUUUAUGUCUUUCAGGAGCAGGGGUAGAUGGACUGAUUGUUGAUGCUCUUCAAGCAUUUGGAAAAGCCUUAAAGGUACUCUCCCUUCCUUGGUCCAAUGAUUCAUAGCAUGCUUGGAUUCCAGUCUGUUAAUUGUGGUCUGCCCCAAUGAAAAAGCUUUUUUUUUUUUUUUUUACUUAUACUCAAAUUAUAGUUCGAGACUGAAAUCAUGUUCAAACACAACCCCGUCAUUAUUUCCUAAACAUGUUAUUUGUGGAUGAAACUUAAGUUACACACCCCAAGCUAUGAUUUGUGGUGUGUAAACUAUAUACAAGUGUUAAAAAUAUAAUAUAAAACCAUUCAUAUGUCUUCACCCAAUAACUUAAUCUUUUGAGAUAGUUGGUUCACGGUGUAGUGUCGAAACCUUUAUGGGUAAGUCGUUCUUAAAUUAAUUGCAUGCUAUGAGACAGAUCAGUUAUGUGCUUAAAUUUAGCCCUAUAUUGUUACACUUUCUAGUCAUGUUUAUAUUGGUCAUCAUGAAAUUGAUAAUAUGAAGCGUGUUCAUAUGUUUGUGUAAGGCAUAAAGUCAGGAUUAUGUUUUCUCAUCAUGCUUGCCCAUAUUAUAGUGAUUGUCUACUACUGAACUUCUUUGGCUCCAAACUCUCCUAGAUGAGCUACUAUGAUCUGUAAUUCUGUAUAAUGUGACAGGUGACAUCUUAAGCAUGGUUUCCCUCUCUUACAACCCAAUCCUGCAUGCACCAAUGAAAAUAGGAAUAUAAAUCUGUUGUAGUAAAAAGAUAUAUCAAUCCCCAACUAAUAUAAAAAGGGAAUAGAUUCUGUCCUACAUGCUCGGGCUUGAGAGGGAGUGUUGGUAUGAUUUAUCUGAUAACCCAUGAAAAUAGAAAUAAAAUUCUGUUUUAGUUAGGAGAUAUAUCAAUCCCUGAAUUUUUAUCAUUUAGGUGUUUUAGAUGUAUUUAUAUUGUAUCUAGUUGUAAUUAUAAAGUUGAGUGCUAGGGUUUCUCUCAAGCAAAUGAAGCAAUCCAACCAGUUCAAGUUAUGUUUUUUCAUUAUUGCUGCCAUUUAUUUUAAUUUAAUUUGAUUCUACAUUUUGAGAUUUUUGGCUACCUGAUUUCUUUUUCUUCCCCCCCUGACAGGUUGAGGGCAACGGCAGUGAACGUUUUGAACUGUCACUACAGUUCUUGCACAGUGUUUCCAAGUCACCUUUUCCAUUAAAUACUGGAAAGCGAGCUGUUAAAUUUUCUGCACGGCUGCAGGAAAGAGACAAAGAUCUCAUUGAAAUGGGGACUAAUCUUGCUGAAGAUCUACAGUGUGGGGACAUUUUUCAUUUGUUUGCUUUAGUCUCAUUAGGUGAACUUUCAAUUUCCCCAUGUUUACCAGAUAAUGGUGUAGGGGAGGCCGAUGACUUGAGAAAUGCAAAGCGUAAAGUUGAUGCUAAUGAGCCUUCCUUUAGUGAUAAAGCUAAGAAACUGAAAUCAUUGUUUGGAACAGAAGGUGAAAUUAUUUCCCGCCGGGAAAAAGGUUUUCCUGGCAUCAUCAUUUCUGCACGCCGUACAGCAAUUUCAAGAACUGAUAUUUUAGAUAUGUUCAUGGAUGAUGAUAACAAUGGCCAAUGUUUUGAUGCGAAUUUUCAAUUAAACACCGGCCAAAGUAGCAAUGAUUCACUUCCUGAUCAUAUGCCAGAACUCUUUAACUCUUGUAACUCUGUACCAGUGGAAGAGAAUCAAGUUGACUCGCCCUGGGAAGCUAUGGCAGGCUAUGCACGACGUUUGAUGUUGGGACCUUCCAAUCAAGAAGUACAAACCAUGUGUGCUGAUGUCUUCAGAGUUGUUUAUGCUGCCAUUCAGAAGGCUGGUGACCAAGGAUUGAGCAUCGAAGAAAUUUCCCAACUUAUAAAAGGGCCAGGUAUUGUAAGUGCUGAGAUUUAACCUAGUAUAUGGUUGACUUAAAAUUGAUUAAUUUUUUUUUAAUUAUUUAAACUUCUCUGUGAUAGUU
rnacentral:lncRNA from 1 species